UGGGGAAUAUUGCACAAUGGGGGAAACCCGGAUGCAGCGACGCCGCGUGAACGAAGAAGGUAUUCGUAUCGUAAAGUUCUGUCCUAUGGGAAGAUAAUGACAGUACCAUAGAAGAAAGCUCCGGCUAAAUACGUGCCAGCAGCCGCGGUAAUACGUAUGGAGCGAGCGUUGUCCGGAAUUAUUGGGCGUAAAGGGUACGCAGGCGGUUUAAUAAGUCGAAUGUUAAAGAUCGGGGCUCAACCCCGCAAAGCAUUGGAAACUGAUAAACUUGAGUAGUGGAGAGGAAAGUGGAAUUCCUAGUGUAGUGGUGAAAUACGUAGAUAUUAGGAGGAAUACCAGUAGCGAAGGCGACUUUCUGGACACAAACUGACGCUGAGGUACGAAAGCGUGGGGAGCAAACAGG
rnacentral:rRNA from 1 species